GAUGAAGAACGUAGCGAAAUGCGAUACGUAAUGUGAAUUGCAGAUUUCAGUGAAUCAUCGAAUCUUUGAACGCACAUUGCGCCCGCUAGUAUUCUGGCGGGCAUGCCUGUUCGAGCGUCAUUUCAACCAUCAAGCCCUAGGCUUGCGUUGGAGCCCUGCGGCUGCCGCAGGCUCCCAAAUCCAGUGGCGGGCUCGUCGUCGUACCGAGUGCAGUAAACAUCCUCGCUCAGGGAACGUGACGGGUUCUUGCCGUGAGACCCCCCACAUAUCAAGGUUGACCUCGGAUCAGGUAGGAAUACCCGCUGAACUUAAGCAUAUCAAUAAGCGGAGGA
rnacentral:misc_RNA from 1 species